AUGGCAGACACUGCCUGCUGCAAGAAACUAGUGGAGGACAUCGGGGGUUGGAUCAAGGUCUACGACGACGGCACCGUCGAGCGGUCUCCACCUCCCCCGGAGGCAAGCCAACUAGCAACCAUCAUUGCGCCGUACGAUGUGCCGCGCAACGGUGUAACGGUGCACGACAUCCGGGCCAACCCGCCUCUCCGUCUCUACCUCCCGGAGGCGGCUCCUUUGGCUGGUCGCCGUCUUCCGGUCCUCCUCCACUUCCACGCCGGCGUGUUCUGUCUGACCGACCCUACCUGGUCGCUGUACCAUUGCUUCUACGCCCGUCUCGCCGCCUCCAUCCCCAUCGCCGGUAUCGUGUCCAUAACCCUCCCCCUUGCUCCGGAGCACCCGCUCCCAGCGGCCCUAGCCGCCGGCUUUGCCGCCAUUGACUGGCUGAGGUCGCUCGCUCAGCCCGGGCUGCUAGCUGAACCGGUCCUAGAGCCGACGUCCGACCCGGUGGGCAAGCUCAAGGCGGUGGCCGACUUUUCACGCGUGUUCCUGAUAGGUGAUAGCAAUGGAGCCAACCUGGUGCACCAUGUUGCCGCCGGGUUCAACUCGGCGGAGCCGGGCUACUGGGGCUCGGUCCGGCUCGCCGGAGCCAUUCUGCUAAACCCGGGUUUCUCCCGGUCCACUCCAAGCCGGUCCGAGUCGGCCGACGUGCAACUGGACCCGUACGUGGACUACAAGCUGGCGGACAGGCUCCUGGCGCUGGCACUCCCCAAAGGCGCCACCCGAGACCACCCCUACAUUUGGCCCGUCCGGGACGACGCGGCGGCGGCAGUUCUGGCCAUGCCGCCGCUUCUGGUGAGUGUCGCGACCUUGGACACGAUGCGUGACCGGCAGGUUGAGUAUUGCAACGUCAUGCGACGCGCUGGGAAGGAUGUGGAGGUGGCGCUGAGCCCCGGUGUGGGCCACAUGUUCUACCUAAACCAGGGCGCCCCCGAGCCGGCCGACGAGGAGACGGCGGCCCACAUCGCGGAGCUCAUCGAGGCCAUCAGAGGCUUUGUCGGCAGGCGUCACGGCUGUGUCGCUCGGAUGUAG
rnacentral:rRNA from 1 species